CUACGGGGCGCUCCAGUGGGGAAUAUUGCACAAUGGAGGAAACUCUGAUGCAGCAACGCCGCGUGGAGGAUGACACUUUUCGGAGCGUAAACUCCUUUUAUAUAGGAAGAAGAUGACGGUACUAUAUGAAUAAGCGCCGGCUAACUCCGUGCCAGCAGCCGCGGUAAUACGGAGGGCGCAAGCGUUACUCGGAAUCACUGGGCGUAAAGAGCGUGUAGGCGGAUUAAAAAGUCAGAAGUGAAAUCCUAUAGCUUAACUAUAGAACUGCUUCUGAAACUCUUAAUCUAGAAUAUGGGAGAGGUAGAUGGAAUUUCUGGUGUAGGGGUAACAUCCGUAGAGAUCAGAAGGAAUACCGAUUGCGAAGGCGAUCUACUAGAACAUUAUUGACGCUGAGACGCGAAAGCGUGGGGAGCAAACAGGAUUAGAUACCCUUGUAGUC
rnacentral:rRNA from 1 species